CAGUGAUGUUUUCGGCAUGUUUUUAUUGAGGUGCAGAUUAUGUGACCAGUUUUUAUUGGUAAAAUACACAGCAUUUAUCAGAGAUCGAGGGCGUCAUAAUUUAGGAGAGGAUGGAUUUCUUCGAAGCUGUGGUAGAUGAAAUUGCACUGGAAGGUUUAGAUGGUAUAACAAUAGCAACACUAUGGUUACGUCUAGAAGAUCGGCG